GCUAUUAGCUGCUUUCCUGGCAUUUGAGCUUGGUGGGUGGCUUUUAGUUGGGUGAUUUCGGGGAUGUCUACCGUAAAGGUGCAUGAGUGGUGUUUGGUUUGUUACGGGUGGUUGGCUCUUUGCUAGCGCAACAACUUCCACCUGGCUUACCUUUUCAGUCUUGUGUCAAUGCUUGUAUCGCAUUGAAUGCAUGGUGGGUUUCUCGUGUUGCAUKCCUAAUUGAUGGUAUCAUUUGAAGAAUUGAUGUCCCUUUUCAUCUUGUGUCGCACAUGCGAUGUGAGAUGAACCUUGAAGUAGCCUUUGUGAUCCACUCUUUCGAUGUACACGCAUUGAUUUUGUGGCCCACUGUGUGUUGCUUGGUCUCAUGGAUAUGGAACCUGGUUUGGGCAUGGGAUCUUUACUAGUUCCUUGUUUGCCCUGGUAUAGCUUUUCUAGUACGAUUGUUUAUCACAUUUUAAUGUGGUAGGCUAUAUCGGAUAUGAAUGCUACCUGGUGAUCCUGCCAG
rnacentral:misc_RNA from 1 species